rnacentral:rRNA from 1 species
GACGAACGCUGGCGGCGUGCCUAAUACAUGCAAGUAGAACGCUGAAGGAGGAGCUUGCUUCUCCGGAUGAGUUGCGAACGGGUGAGUAACGCGUAGGUAACCUGCCUGGUAGCGGGGGAUAACCAUUGGAAACGAUAGCUAAUACCGCAUAAGAGUAGAUGUCGCAUGACAUUUGCUUAAAAGGUGCAACUGCACCACUACCAGAUGGACCUGCGUUGUAUUAGCUAGUUGGUGAGGUAACGGCUCACCAAGGCAACGAUACAUAGCCGACCUGAGAGGGUGAUCGGCCACACUGGGACUGAGACACGGCCCAGACUCCUACGGGAGGCAGCAGUAGGGAAUCUUCGGCAAUGGACGGAAGGCUGACCGAGCAACGCCGCGUGAGUGAAGAAGGUUGUCGGAUCGUAAAGCUCUGUUGUAAGAGAAGAACGAGUGUGAGAGUGGAAAGUUCACACUGUGACGGUAUCUGACCAGAAAGGGACGGCUAACUACGUG